rnacentral:rRNA from 1 species
GACGAACGCUGGCGGCGUGCUUAACACAUGCAAGUCGAACGGAAAGGCCCUGCUUUUGUGGGGUGCUCGAGUGGCGAACGGGUGAGUAACACGUGAGUAACCUGCCCUUGACUUUGGGAUAACUUCAGGAAACUGGGGCUAAUACCGGAUAGGAGCUCGUGCUGCAUUUUGUGGGUUGGAAAGUUUCGGCGGUUGGGGAUGGACGCGCGGGUUAUCGGCUUGUUGGUGGGGUAGUGGAUUACCAAGGUAUUGACCGGUAGCCGGCUUGGGAGGGUGACCGGCCACAUUGGGACGGAGAUAGAGACGAGACUCACACCUGCGGCAGGAGGCGGGAGUAUAGCACGAUGAGCGGGAGCCAGCUGCAGGAACCCCCGGUGCGGGAAGACGGCAUUCGGGUGGUGAACCAAUUUCGCCUGUGACGAAGCGUGCGUGACGGUACUGAGUAAGGAAGCACCGGCUAACUACGUG